UCGUCCUCGUCGGUCGUCGCCGACUCUCCCGAGCGCCGCUCUUCGCUAUCGACAGGUCGCCGUAAUGUCGAACGACCGAGGGGAAUCAGCUGGGCGGGACAGGUUCCCCUCCGGCCCAAGAUCUCCCCUCCGCUACAUCCACGAUCUCAUUGCGAGCAGCAGCUGGCCGACGCGCGCGGCGCCAUGGCCAUGGCUACUGAAGGUUUUGUCUUCUAGAAUCGGUACUGAUCCACGCACGCUCAUCACAACGUCGCUGAAGAUUAGAAACAUAAAACGCGCGACAAGCAAACUGGGGUAUUUCUAUAUGCAGAAGAGCUGCAAUCGUGCUGUUAGCUAGAAUGUACAUUUCAGAUCAACAAAUGGAGUUCUGAAGUUCUCUGCUGUCACUCUCUGUUCAAGAGUUGUUGACCGUGUGGUAACGGAUCAUGACUCUAGUGAUAACUUCAUUAUCCAAUUUAGUCAUUAUAUAUUUUUAGCUCAAAAUUGUAUAUAAUUAGAGUCCGGUCCUUUUAGGAUCAGAUCUUUAAAUUAUUGAAGUUAAAUUUUACAGCCC